ACAGCCUCUAGGCAGAACACAGAGCACCUCAGCAUCUUAUCUGCCAUGAGCCAACUGAUCUUAUCUGCCAUGAGCCAACUCAUCCGUAUUAAGCUCCUUACCAUCAGAUUAAUAAAGGAGCUUUCUCAGCCCAGUGAAGGUAGUUGAGAAGGAAAGGCAGAGUCCCUGUUGCCUGCACAGACCCCAUUCUCCGCUGUCUUCUCUGUGUCAGACUUGGUAAAAUGUCUUUCUUGUUGAUAUGGAUCAAAGCUAUUUUUAUCACUGUCUUGGCAUUUCCUCAUUAUUCUGCUCUGAAUCAAGACUUUGUGGAAGGAGAGAACUCAUUGAUUCCUCUGCUGACAACUUAUGUUCCUUAAAGCCCAAUAUGGCCCAUAAACUUUGGAACAAAGUAUCCAUGAGGUAUUGGGUAGAUCUCUGAUAUUAGACCAGAGUACUAAUUAAUUAAAUAAUGAUUAACUUUCAAGUUAAGUGAUUUUAUACAAGGCAUAUAAAUGGCAACAAGCAAGCCAUUGUCUUCUCUAACGAGGAUGUCUCAUUUAUAAAAACGGGAAAAAACCCCCACAACUAUAGUAUCUUCACAGGUGGGUUUGGGUGAUUAUUAAAUAAUACAUAAGAUUAUUUUCACAGAGUGUGCUUAAUUUAGGAUUAUGUUUCUAUAUUUGAAUUUAUUUUGUGAAUUUACUGUUUUGAUACUUCUCUAAAGGGCUCAUUUCAUUAUUUGCAGGGUCCUGAUUAGGCAAUUUGCAUAAUAUUUUGCUACUAAAAUAUGUGGGUACUUCUCACCAAAGACUCUAAUGGUUUUCCUCUCUUCCUCUUCUUAUUUUUAAUUUGUG
rnacentral:lncRNA from 1 species